GGACCCGCACAAGCGGUGGAGUAUGUGGUUUAAUUCGAUGCAACGCGAAAACCUUACCAGGGUUUGAAAUCAUUUCAAAACUCCUUGAAAGAGGAGCCUCCUUCGGGAUGAAAUGACAGGUGGUGCAUGGCUGUCGUCAGCUCGUGUUGUGAAAAUGUCGAGUUAAGUCUCGUAACGAGCGCAACCCAUGUCUCUUGUUGCUCUUUGAGUGCUUAAGAGAGACUGCCGACCAACAUCGGAGGAAGGUGUGGAUGAUGUCAAGUCAGCAUGCCCCUUACAUCCUGGGCUACACACGUACUACAAUGGUAAGGACAAUGAGCUGCAAGCCUGCGAAGGUUAGCC
rnacentral:rRNA from 1 species